rnacentral:lncRNA from 1 species
AUUGAUUUUCAUUGCACUGUAUUUUCCAGAAGUUUGAAGUUAUAAUAAGGAUCUGACUUUAUGAGAAAUUGAUUUUCAUACACUAAGGAAAAAUUGUUAGAGACUUAAUUUUCUUCACUCAGUACAUAGUGGAAGAAUCACAUAUACAUCUGAUAAGAAAUUAACAAUCUCUUAAAUACUCCCAGUUAAUGUAAUGAGUCUUUUUGUAGGUAUAGUUCUGUCCUUUUGAGGAGAGAGAAAUUCUAGUACUCUGGAACCUAACAUGUACCCAGCUAAACAUAAUACUCUUGGGAGCAGUAUGCGGCUAGUAACUUAUCUUCUUGAAGAGAAUGACUGAGAUGUCUGUUUGGAAUUAUUCCUGGAAUUAGAGCAGCAUGAGGUCUCCUCUGCCAAUCUAAGAGCCUGAUUCUGCAGAUUUACUUACAAGAAACUACUCUAUAUGAGCAACCCGUUGAUGUUAAGAGGUCUACUCAGGUAAGUAUAGUUACUUGUGUGCAAGAAUCUGCAGAAUCAAGGCUGUGUCUGUAAAAAUUUAGAAAAUAAACCACUGAUGAAAUAGACUAUGUCCUUCUGU